CCUACGGUGGGCAGCAGUGGGGAAUAUUGGACAAUGGGCGAAAGCCUGAUCCAGCCAUGCCGUGUGUGUGAAGAAGGCCUUCGGGUUGUAAAGCACUUUCAGUGGGGAAGAAAGCCUUGGGGCUAAUACCCUCGAGGAAGGACAUCACCCACAGAAGAAGCACCGGCUAACUCCGUGCCAGCAGCCGCGGUAAUACGGAGGGUGCGAGCGUUAAUCGGAAUUACUGGGCGUAAAGCGCGCGUAGGCGGUCUGAUAAGCCGGUUGUGAAAGCCCCGGGCUCAACCUGGGAACGGCAUCCGGAACUGUCAGGCUAGAGUGCAGGAGAGGAAGGUAGAAUUCCCGGUGUAGCGGUGAAAUGCGUAGAGAUCGGGAGGAAUACCAGUGGCGAAGGCGGCCUUCUGGACUGACACUGACGCUGAGGUGCGAAAGCGUGGGUAGCAAACAGGAUUAGAUACCCUGGUAGUC
rnacentral:rRNA from 1 species